GAAUAGGCCUGACCUAGAUUGUGAAGUCUU
rnacentral:piRNA from 1 species